UUUCCGUAGGUGAACCUGCGGAAGGAUCAUUAACGCAUCUCUGACGGCGGAGGCGCGCCCUGCUCCGGACCGAAAGGCCGUGCUGCGGGCGCUCCCGAGCCGCUCAACCAUCGCAAACCCACCGUGCACUCUUGUCGGCGGGGGGCCUAGCGCCCCGAGCCGGAUCGCAAACACCUCUUUUAAAACAGAAUGAUCAGCGGACCUGCGUGCCGCCUAAACUUAAACAACUUUCAACAACGGAUCUCUUGGCUCUC
rnacentral:misc_RNA from 1 species